ensembl:misc_RNA Metazoa_SRP Metazoan signal recognition particle RNA
GCUAGGCGUGGUGGCAUGUGCCUGUAAUCCCAGCUACUCAGGAGGCUGAGACAGGAGAAUCACUUGAACCCAGGAGGCAGAGGUGGCAGUGAGCCGAGAUUGUAUCACUGCAACCCAGCCUGGGUGACAGAGUGAUAUUCUGUCUCAA